AAAAAAUUAGUUAAUAAAUAAUAUAAGCUUGUCAUGCUUAAGUGAUUCAGAAAGAAUAUUUUUUU
rnacentral:tRNA from 1 species